ensembl:snoRNA U3 Small nucleolar RNA U3
AAGACUAUACUUUCAGGGAUCAUUUCUAUAGUUUGUGACUUGAGAAAUGUGUUUCUAAAGUGUAUGGUCUCGCUGACCACGAUGAAGAGUUGUUGAUACUCCUUCCUGAGCAUGAACCAGACAGAGACCUGGUGUUUUCUGUCACUGAUGACUGUUCACUGUGUCCUUUGGGGCUAGUGAGGGGAAGAGUAUGAUCUGAGUGGC